GUGAAGAAGUGAAGUGCAUUGGACAGCUGUUUUAAAGAAACUUUUGACAAGGGAACAUCAUGAAUAGGGCAUUUAGAAUUCAUCCCGGCAUGAUGGUGGACGGAGGUAUGGUUGCUCAACCAGCAGACGGAAGAAGUGCUGCACUUAACCAGAAUGACACAAGAAGGAGAAGGUCCUCAAGUUCGAUUAUCGAAGGAACUCCGCAGCUCCUAUCAAAAAUGCGUAAAGGUUUGU